GUUUCUGGAAGACCUGAGUCACCGGUGGACUGUCAGAGAGAGGAAACCACCCACCUUCCUGGCUCCCACGGAAGCAGGAUUCAGCCAGCAGGGAGAGCCAGCUUCCAGCCUGCUGCCCAGGUUCACUGCUGAAGGUGGGUUAGCCAACUUCACCUCCCCCAAACCAGUGACUCUUUCUUGGGACUUCCGGACCAAGGAACCACCUCUUACCAUUUCACACGGCAACUUGGAUUCUAUGUCUGCAGAAAUGAUCAUCUCCUUCGAGCUGCUCUCAUCCCUCUGUCUUUUCUCUCCAUUAACCUGAUUUCCUACCAGGCUUUUCUCAGUUAUGUGGGAGGAUGCAGAAUUUAAUCCUUAUUCAUUGUUCCUUGAGGAUUUACCACAUGACAGACACUGUUCUGAGCAUUCUGCAUGUAUUAAGCCCAUUUAACAUGAGGUAGGUAGGGAUUGUUAUCAUGCCUAUUUGUGUUUGAGGAAACUGAGGCCCAGCAAGGGCAGGGAGUCAAUCGUCUGUGCUCUAUAAACACAGCGAACAGCCCUGAAGGAGUCCCCCUACUCUUGAGAAGCCAAUGUUUCUAGAGUGGGGAGACAGAAAGUGAAGAAGAGAACAAAUGAGGUAAUUUCAGGAAUAAAUUAGAAGGACGUUUAUGAAGGAGACUGGCCCAAUCUCAUUCUAGGUCACACAGUAGCUACUAAGGGGGGGCACUGGGCCCAGAACCCAGGCUAUCUGACGCCAAGGGCAACCUAACAUUGCACCCCACAUCAUUCUUCUUAAAGGGGCUUAUCUGGCAUUUCCUAUAUGGAUUAUGAAUUAUUACAUAUAGGCAUUUCCUAUGUGGAUUAUGAAUUAUUACAUAUAGAACAAUGUAGCAAAGAAGAAGGUAUUAAAAAGUUUCUUUUAAAAAAUUCAGCAAAUAAUAACAACCAGAUGAAGGAAACUUCUCUAGGUCAUUUGCUUCAGAUCCACACUUCGGAUGAAAAUGGCUGAAAAGGAGGCAGAGAUGGCAGAAGACUAAAGGAAAGCGCCGAGCUGUGACUUGACGCCCAUUCCAAGGGCAGUGUGGCUCUUGUGAGACCAAAAGAAGAGUAGGAAUGAACGCGUGGGUCCUGUGAGCAGCGGGUGGCUUUGCUGAGCUUGGUGCUCUUAGAAGACCAGCCACUUUUGUCCCUGCAGCCCGGGGCCACAGAGCCAGACACCAGACCCACAGCAGCCCGGGAAGUAACGGUCGCUCUGUCUCGUCUGGGAAGAUCUCCGUUGCCAGGGCUUGCUGGACCCGCCCCCGCACAGCUUCCCAGCAGUCCCGAUUCCGCCUGAGGCUCCAGAAGGCGAAGCUGUACAGGAGGCCACUUUUCUUCUCAGCCUAGAACUCGAGAGACCUGAAAGGAAGGACGACUGGCCACAGGAGAUGUUUCACAGAGCCGCUGAAUGAACAACACAGUCAAUUCUGAUCAACUUUCCAGUGCUAUCUGGGUGUAAGUGAGUGGCCCUGGAGGUGGGUGCCUCUCCCCGGCGCAGUUUUUCCUUCCAUCACAAGCAUGGCUGAAGCUGGGUGGUGGUGCAUACAGAUUCCAGCCAGCAAGGAGGGGAAAGAGAGUUCAGAGGACUCACCUCCACUGUCCCCGACCCAGGCCUGUAGCAUCUAUAUUGGCUCCUCUCAGGUUCCACAGAAUUCCUCAAGAUGACUGAGGUUGGUCCCUGAAGAAACCAAAUUCAGUGUAAGAAAACCAACAUCACAAAGAGGACUGUGCUACCUUUCUGCAUGUGAGUGCAGAGACUGACCUUCAGAACUCAGCUGAGAGUAUUAGAAGCCUGCCUGUGGAGGAAGGCCCACCCAGGCUGCAUGCGCUUCCCUCCCCCAGGGGCAGAAGCCUGAGCAGGCAGAGGUGGGGGAAGGACAGAGCCAUGGAAUGGCCAGAGCCGGACAGAGCCAGGAGAUGAAAAAUCAAGGUCCGGAAUUAUUAGGUGACUUGGGCAACUUGCCACAGUCCCAAAUGGUAAGUCCUAAAUGCCUCAAGACGGAAAUCCAGGCAGGCUGGCCCCUGAGGCUGAGGAUCCAGCUCCACACAGGACUGCCUGUCCAGAAGCGUGAGAUCUUUGCCUGUAGGCUGAGUGAGACUCCACCAGAUGAGUGGGCAGGCAUUCCAGGCAGGGGUGAUGACACAUGCAAAGGCAUAGAGAUGAUAAAACAUGCUACUUACGGGAGAAGACAAAAGUGCCAAGGAAGAGAGAUACGUGGUAAAGGGUGAAGAUGGACAGGCCAGAGA